rnacentral:rRNA from 1 species
GAUAAACGCUGGCGGUGUACAUAAGACAUGCAAGUCGAACGGGAGAAACUGAGAUGGAUUUAUUCAACUUAGCAGACACCGUGGCGGAUGGGUGAGUAACACGUAAGCAACCUGCCUAAAAGAGGGGAAUAACAGAGAGAAAUUUCUGAUAAUACCGCAUAUACCAAAGUAUCGCAUGGUACAAUUGGGAAAGAUUUAUCACUUUUAGAUGGGCUUGCGUCUGAUUAGCUAGUUGGUGAGAUAAUAGCUCACCAAGGCGACGAUCAGUAGCCGGAUUGAGAGGUUGAACGGCCACAUUGGGACUGAGACACGGCCCAGACUCCUACGGGAGGCAGCAGUCGGGAAUAUUGCACAAUGGAGGAAACUCUGAUGCAGUGACACCGCGUAUAGGAAGAAGGCCUUAGGGUUGUAAGCUAUUGUCGUGUGAGAAGAAGAUGACUAUCACAGGAGGAAGCCCUGGCUAAAUAUGUGCCAGCAGCCGCGGUAAUACAUAUGGGGCGAGCGUUAUCCGGAUUUAUUGGGUGUAAAGGGUUCGUAGGCGGGAAAGUAAGUCAGUAUGUGAAAUCCCUCGGCUCAACCGAGGAACUGCGAUUGAAACUAUUUUUCUUGAGUACUGGAGGGGAAAGUGGAAUUCUUAGUGUAGCGGUGAAAUGCGUAGAUAUUAGGAAGAACACCAGUGGCGAAGGCGACUUUCUGGACAGUAACUGACGCUGAGGAACGAAAGUGUGGGGAGCAAACAGGAUUAGAUACCCUGGUAGUCCACACUGUAAACGAUGGAUACUAGGGGUUGGCAUAGGAAAUGUCGGUCCCGCAGUUAACGCAUUAAGUAUCCCACCUGGGGAGUACGACCGCAAGGUUAAAACUCAAAGGAAUUGACGGGGGCCCGCACAAGCAGUGGGGUAUGUGGUUUAAUUCGACGCAACGCGAAGAACCUUACCAGGGCUUGACAUGAUUAGGAAUAUAUAAGAGAUUAUAUAGCUCUACGGAGUCUAAUUACAGGUGGUGCAUGGUUGUCGUCAGCUCGUGUCGUGAGAUGUUGGGUUAAGUCCCUAAACGAGCGCAACCCUUAUCACUAGUUGCUAACAUUAAGUUGAGGACUCUAGUGAGACUGCCGUUUAUUAAAACGGAGGAAGGAGAGGAUGACGUCAAAUCAUCAUGCCCUUUAUGUCCUGGGCUACACACGUACUACAAUGGGUAGGACAAAGGGAAGCAACGGAGUGAUCCUGAGCAAAACCCAAAACCUAUUCACAGUUCGGAUUGAAGGCUGAAAUUCGCCUUCAUGAAGCCGGAAUUGCUAGUAAUGGCAGGUCAGCAUACUGCCGUGAAUACGUUCCCGGGCCU